UACGUAGGGUGCAAGCGUUAAUCGGAAUUACUGGGCGUAAAGCGUGCGCAGGCGGCUAUGCAAGUCAGAUGUGAAAUCCCCGGGCUCAACCUGGGAACUGCAUUUGUGACUGCAUGGCUAGAGUACGGUAGAGGGGGAUGGAAUUCCGCGUGUAGCAGUGAAAUGCGUAGAUAUGCGGAGGAACACCGAUGGCGAAGGCAAUCCCCUGGACCUGUACUGACGCUCAGGCACGAAAGCGUGGGGAGCAAACAGG
rnacentral:rRNA from 1 species